AACGAACGCUGGCGGCAGGCCUAACACAUGCAAGUCGAGCGCGCCCUUCGGGGUGAGCGGCGGACGGGUGAGUAACGCGUGGGAACGUGCCCUUUUCUACGGAAUAGCCUCGGGAAACUGAGAGUAAUACCGUAUACGCCCUUUGGGGGAAAGAUUUAUCGGAAAAGGAUCGGCCCGAGUUGGAUUAGGUAGUUGGUGGGGUAAUGGCCUACCAAGCCGACGAUCCAUAGCUGGUUUGAGAGGAUGAUCAGCCACACUGGGACUGAGACACGGCCCAGACUCCUACGGGAGGCAGCAGUGGGGAAUCUUAGACAACGGGGGCAACCCUGAUCGAGCCAUGCCGCGUGAGUGAUGAAGGCCUUAGGGUUGUAAAGCUCUUUCAGCUGGGAAGAUAAUGACGGUACCAGCAGAAGAAGCCCCGGCUAACUCCGUG
rnacentral:rRNA from 1 species